rnacentral:rRNA from 1 species
UGAGGGGGGGAUCUUAGGACCUCCCGCUACAGGGGCGGCCGAUGGCAGAUUAGCUAGUUGGUGGGGUAAAGGCCUACCAAGGCGACGAUCUGUAGCUGGUCUGAGAGGACGACCAGCCACACUGGGACUGAGACACGGCCCAGACUCCUACGGGAGGCAGCAGUGGGGAAUUUUGGACAAUGGGGGAAACCCUGAUCCAGCAAUGCCGCGUGUGUGAAGAAGGCCUUCGGGUUGUAAAGCACUUUUGUCCGGAAAGAAAUCCUCUUCGCUAAUACCGAGGGGGGAUGACGGUACCGGAAGAAUAAGCACCGGCUAACUACGUGCCAGCAGCCGCGGUAAUACGUAGGGUGCAAGCGUUAAUCGGAAUUACUGGGCGUAAAGCGUGCGCAGGCGGUUCGCUAAGACAGAUGUGAAAUCCCCGGGCUUAACCUGGGAACUGCAUUUGUGACUGGCGGG